UACGUAGGGUCCGAGCGUUGUCCGGAGUUACUGGGCGUAAAGCGCGCGCAGGCGGCGGUGCUGGCCCGGCGUCGAAAGCCCCCCGGCUCAACCGGGGAGGGUCGUCGGGGACCGCACCGCUUGAGGGCGGUAGGGGCUGGUGGAAUGCCUGGUGUAGUGGUGAAAUGCGUAGAGAUCAGGCGGAACACCCGUGGCGAAGGCGGCCAGCUGGGCCGUCCCUGACGCUGAGGCGCGAAGGCGUGGGGGAGCGAACGGG
rnacentral:rRNA from 1 species